UGUUCCUGCACUCCGGAAUUCUUUAGUCUCAGCAAGUAGUUAUGCCUCGAGGUGUUAGUAAAGCUGACCUUAAUAGAUAAAUCAUAUAAACGAAAGAGAGGGAUAGGCAACGCCAAGCACUUCCGUUGGAUGAGGCUAUUUGCGUUUAAUGAGCAAAAAGGGGUGUUCACUCAAAUGGAUCCAGUAGUAUUAUGGCAAGCCAUUGAUUGAUCAAUAUAAGGCCUUGACCAAAUUUUGCUUUUUUAUUUACUUUAUUUGCUUUUUUAUUUACCCAUUAAAUUUUGCCCUAUUGUACCCAUCAUACACGCGCAUUUUGCUUCUUAUGAAGAGCCAGUGUUACCCAUGUAAUGGCAUAGAUACUUUUCAACUCAAUGAAUUUAAUAAUUAUACACAGUCUACAGUGUGCAAGGAGGUAGGGGGUAUAGCCUUGUUUCCAGGUAGAUAGAAAAUACGGCCAGUAUAAUUAUACAAUUGUACACACACGGCUAUAAAAAUAGAUUACAUCAGUUUAAUUUUGUACUGAAAGCUAUUUACGGUAUUAUUUAUCUAAACAUUUAAUGUGAAAUUAAUACUUGAAAGAUAGAAUGUGGUGUACAGUGCAUGUUCAAAAUGCAAUUAUGUUCACAUUCACUUUGCAAUGAAAGGUUACCUUUCAGUCUAUGCCAAUUUAAGAUGAAGUAUACUUGUAGAAUGGUACACACAAGGCAGUGUAUAUAUACCGUACUCUACCGAGAUAACGCCCACGUCCGAAAAUACGCCCACCCCCACUUUUGAGUGAAAGUUCCUGCAUAGGCUAAUUUGCCUCGAGAAUACGCCCACCAGGAAGCAUUUGUCAGUGAGCAAGUUUGUCAAGAAAAGGUUUAGCAGUUUAUUGUGCGUGUAGUACACUGGUAUAGCUAGAUAUAUAUAGCUAGAUCCUAUUUGCAAGUAUAAGAGACAAGGACAAUCUUCUCUGAAUCUCUGUUGAAGACUCUGACAGUGACAAGGAACAACCUUUGAUGCAGAAUCUUAACUCUUUAUACCUACCGUAAAACCUCGAUUUAAGGCGACACUUUUAAAUAAUUACGUUUUGCGAAAGUAGAGUUUUAAUGUACACAAAAAAAAUGAAUUUCCUAUAUGGGCGAAAUGUCCAAGUGUCGCAUAUUUAGAGGGUCGCCUUAAAUAGAGGUUUUACGGUAGCUACUUUACCCAUGCAUUACCAUUGUUGUAUGUUGAUGUAUUCAUUGUAUUUUCAAGAGCUGGUAGGCCUCAGACACAGACAGAAAAGAAUAGUUUCUUAAUGAGUGGGCUUAAUUUCGAUCGAGGCAAACACUUGGGUGGGCUUAAUUUAGAGACAAAACUACUGUUUUCGAAAUUAAGCCCAUCCCACCUGUAGCUGCUUUGUAUGCAAUUAGGGUGGGCGUAAUUUCGGUAGAGUACGGUAAUUGUAAGAUAUAGUAUACAUGUACUAUAUAAUUUGCAAUCUAAUACGAUGCAUGGUGGGUGCUUUAGUAGUCUCAUGAAUCAGCCACCUUUCUUGUGGUCUUACAAAAGAAGGUAAGCUGAUUCAUGAGACUAGUGCAUGCUUAAGGUAGAAUUGGAGAGCCAUUACCACGUUUACCACACCCGUAAGCAAGAAAAAUGCAUAAUUUACAUUUUGGGAUGUAAGCGUGCAUAGGCUGGCCCUUAACCCUUCAUACACUUUUAGCCAGCAUGCUGACUAUAAAAGGGGCGUGCCCUGGGCAUUCGAGGCGGAAAUUAUUAAAUAUGGCCGCGUGCAAUAAACUCUCUGGCCUUUUCUGCUUCACUGCCGCUCGCUUCAUGCACACAUGUUUUUACUUGGACAAGUUGGAGCAGGAGCAGGCAGGUGCUGUUCCUGAGAGAGUAGACCUACAGUCUGUAAAUCUAACCCAAUGUAGGAGAAUUCAGGUUUGUUGAUAAAUUUGUAUCCGUAAAGACGUUACUUCUUGUUCAGGAAUAUUUACUGGCAAUAAUAUACUGACGUAGUGAUGAACAUGUUGCUCGUGUGUGAACUAAAGACUUUGUUCCGUCUUUUCACUGGCCUAUCCCAAGUGUGUGACCACCAGUGCCAAUCUUGCUAUUAUGGACUGGGUAUAAUUAUGUUAUGCUGGCUAAUUAAUAAUGUGUGACUGUACAUUCAUUUGCAGAACGAGAAGGUAGGUAUAUUGUAUAUAGAGAGAGUAUACAAGUGAGCAACUAGUUCAGGACAUGAGAAGACCGGAUUGUAGGACUCCCAUGAGAGUGCUGGUGGAAAAAUCGUUCGACUUUGUCGGAGAAAUAUGGGAGAAUUACGUUCAGCAGAGAAAAGUUGACCUCAGUGAGUUUGUAGAGGACAUGCAACUAGCUGAGCAAUCAGAUAAGCCAGUAGAGGACCUAGUGAACGAUUGUUUACAUGUACUUGACGAAGAUCUCUAUGAAGACAUAAUAAUUAUAAAAGAGUGACGUCAGGGUACAAAGCUACAACUUCUUUAACUCCUCCAGAAAGUGUUCUGGAGGAUGCUGGCUAUAGCAUACCUGAAGCUGAAUAGAGACAUACAUUUUUUAUCUCCUUAUGUAUUAUAUAUGGCCUUCUUUGGUACCUUGAGUCUUGUUUUCUGUGUAUUAGUAGCCAUUUUACUUAACGUGCAUUGUAUCCCCCCCCACCCAUGCAUGCAUGGUAUAAAAUGCGCAUGCUUGUUCUAGAGCCGUUUAUACAUUGUUUGAAAGGGCUAUGAAGUGGGAAAGAAAAGAGAGCUGUUUUACACAUAUUUGAAUGUUGGAGCUGGGGUCAAAGGUCUGCCCAGGGCAUGGGCCUUUUGUACCGCAACAGUGGGGAAGUGAAUCUAAUCUCUAAUCAUUAAAACUGCGCAUUAUAAAGCCAAUUAACAUGCUCGUUUAAGCUGGCAUUAUUUUUUGUGGGUGUGAGGAAUCACUAUAGCUUGAUACCACUUAGCCUCGAAUCCAGGCCGAUUAAAAUACGGCCUGGUAUAUAUUGCAUGGGUGAUAGCGCACAUGCGCAAACUUUUCCCCCAGAAUCUGGGGAAUUCGUUCUAUAUUAGUAAACCUUUAACUAGUUUGUUUACUAGUUUUUUCUUUCUUGUAUUAAUUUUAAUUCGUCUCCUGCAUGUGAAGCUGUGGCUUAUGCACUCUAUUAAGUUGUCGAGAAGGCUUGCACACUGGUCUGAAGCCAAGAGACGCUCUCAUCUACCUCUACAAUGGUCGUAGUUGGAAGCACGAAGUCAAAGACUUGCCAUACUCUGCCCAGGACUUUCCCAAAUUGAAUUAGCUUAUCAAACGACACUCACUGUAUACACAUAAGACUGAAUUUGCGAUCCGCAUGACUGUUACAA